AAACAAAUCAACCAGCCAACCAAAAACCUCUAUGUUAAAAUAAUAUUUAUCUGUCACUUUUUCUGGAUCUGAACAGGAUUCAGCUAAAUGGCUCCUACUGGCUGCAUUAAAGACUCAAAGCCUGUGACCAUGUGAAAUGCAGGAAUGCAUAGUUUUGGACAUCCCUUCAACCUCAGCUCCCCUGUAAAGCUGCCUCUCUCCUCAGCAGGGUAAACCAAGGGUUUUCUUUAAAAUGAUCUUGAUAUGGGAUGAGUUAAAGCACAGAGUGGUGACAGGGGCCAGAGACUAGGAAUUAAUAUGGUCCUCCUGGUAUGGUUAUAAAGUGCCUGAGAUCAGCUCCAUUGCCAUCCUUUCAUGUUCCCUAGCACCUGAAGACCCUUUCUUGAAUUUUGCAGAAAAUGCAGAUCCUGAAUGCUGAGCACUGGCUUUCCUGAAAACAGUACAUGUUUGAACAUGGAGUAAAAUCCCUUGGAAACUCUCCACAUUGAUAUCCUUAGAGAGAUGUGACUUCUUUGGCUGAUCCAGGGGAAAGAGAAACCAGGACAAGAAGACAAAUUUCACCCCUGAAGUGAACAGAACACACCAGGGAUUUCCCAUGGUGAUGAGAGUCCCUGUUCCAGCUCAACUGAUUCAACUGGCUAUGUUGCCUUUUAUCCAGGUUCCUGUUUUCAUCAUAUGGCAGGAGAUGCAGAAAGCACUAGGAAACCUACACCACCAGAGGGAUCUCUGUCAUCUUCUCCUAGUGCUCCCUGGAGAAUAGAUGGUCAAAAAGUGAACUGUUUUUUGGUUGCAUAUCACAUCCAAUUCUUGAGUCUGUGCACUGCCUACACAACCGUUGCUGUUGCUUCAAACAAGCAGUCCUAA
rnacentral:lncRNA from 1 species